UACGAAGGGGGCUAGCGUUGUUCGGAGUUACUGGGCGUAAAGCGUGCGUAGACGGUCAUGUAAGUCGGAUGUGAAAGCCCCGGGCUCAACCUGGGAAUUGCAUUCGAGACUGCAAGGCUUGGGUGCGGAAGAGGGAAGCGGAAUUUCCGGUGUAGCGGUGAAAUGCGUAGAUAUCGGAAGGAACACCAGUGGCGAAAGCGGCUUCCUGGUCCGACACCGACGUUCAGGCACGAAAGCGUGGGGAGCAAACAGG
rnacentral:rRNA from 1 species